rnacentral:rRNA from 1 species
GUGGGGAAUAUUGCGCAAUGGGGGAAACCCUGACGCAGCAACGCCGCGUGAGUGAUGAAGGCUUUCGAGUCGUAAAACUCUGUCUUUGGGGACGAAUAAUGACGGUACCCAAGGAGGAAGCCCCGGCUAACUACGUGCCAGCAGCCGCGGUAAUACGUAGGGGGCAAGCGUUGUCCGGAAUCACUGGGCGUAAAGGGCGCGUAGGCGGUUUGUUAAGUCAGGUGUGAAAGUUUUCAGCUUAACUGGAAAAGUGCACUUGAAACUAACUUACUUGAGUACUGGAGAGGUAAGCGGAAUUCCUAGUGUAGCGGUGAAAUGCGUAGAUAGUAGGAAGAACACCGGUGGCGAAGGCGGCUUACUGGACAGAGACUGACGCUGAGGCGCGAAAGCGUGGGGAGCGAGCAGGAUUAGAAACCCCGGUAGUCC